GGAAUGUGCAAACGUUAUUCGGAAUCACUGGGCUUAAAGAGUCCGUAGGCGGCCUGUUAGGUGAGGUGUGAAAUCCCCCGGCUCAACCGAGGAAUUGCGCUUCAAACCGGCAGGCUAGAGGAGGAUAGAGGUGGGCGGAACUGAUGGUGGAGCGGUGAAAUGCGUUGAUAUCAUCAGGAACACCGGAGGCGAAAGCGGUCCACUGGGUCCUUUCUGACGCUGAGGGACGAAAGCUAGGGGAGCGAACGGGAUUAGAUACCCCGGUAGUCCUAGCCUUAAACGAUGAAUGCUUGGUGUCUGGGGUUUUAUAGUCCCCGGGUGCCGUCGCUAACGCUUUAAGCAUUCCGCCUGGGGAGUACGGUCGCAAGACUG
rnacentral:rRNA from 1 species